rnacentral:rRNA from 1 species
GUGGGGAAUAUUGGACAAUGGGGGCAACCCUGAUCCAGCCAUGCCGCGUGUGUGAAGAAGGCCUUCGGGUUGUAAAGCACUUUCAGAUGUGAGGAAAGGUGUGUGGUUAAUACCCGCAUACUGUGACGUUAACAUCAGAAGAAGCACCGGCUAACUCCGUGCCAGCAGCCGCGGUAAUACGGAGGGUGCAAGCGUUAAUCGGAAUUACUGGGCGUAAAGCGCACGUAGGUGGUUUGGUCAGUCAGAUGUGAAAGCCCCGGGCUCAACCUGGGAACUGCACCUGAUACUGCCAGACUAGAGUACGGUAGAGGGUAGUGGAAUUUCCGGUGUAGCGGUGAAAUGCGUAGAGAUCGGAAGGAACACCAGUGGCGAAGGCGACUGCCUGGACCGAUACUGACACUGAGGUGCGAAAGCGUGGGUAGCAAACAGGAUUAGAAACCCUAGUAGUCC